CUGAGAUUCAAACCACAUCUUCUCUAUCUAUUUCCUAUUCUUUUCACUUACAUUGAUAUGCUUAAAUUUGUAAGGAUAAAGAACAGAUAUGGGGAAGGAAGAGCAGGAAGGAAGAAGUUUCUGAAGGGUGCAGAGGGGCGUCGGGGAGAGGUCUAUCAGAUCUGCAGCCCUACGCAAGGAGUAUGAGAAGAUCCACAGUAAAGGAUCCUGAGAGCAGACUUCAUGGAAUUCAAAGUACGCGGCCAAGCUAAGUCCACAUUUCUCUCCCCAGUGUGUGUGUGCACGAGAAACCAUGGCAUGUCUCAGGUCUGGGGUCUGGUUGUGUGUCCCGAGUUGGUUCCUUCUGGUGGGUU
rnacentral:lncRNA from 10 species